GGUACUAUGUAGUUGAGUGUCAGUUUAUGUUUGUAUAGGUAUAUGUUCGUGGCAUUACUUGUUCUGUAUGAGCAGUAGUUACCUACACUGCCUUAAAUUUCAAAAGGCAAUUAGUUUACAACGAUCCGGAUCCUUUUGAUUAAUCUAUAUCGGCAUUUCUCUGUUUCAACACUGUACUCGUAAUUCGUACGCUUCACCAACAACAAAUUCAACAAGCAUGUACUAUCUCUUGAAAUCCCGUUUAUUCAGUAUCUAGCGAAACCUGUUUCCAGUUCAUGACAUAAGUUCACACUUCAACAAUAUUUCGAAGAAGGUUAUCGAAGUAUUGAAAUAUGUCAAUGUCACCUCCUCCGGGGUAGAUCUUCAGAGUACCUUCAAAGACGAUGUAUGGACGGAUGGUUCCACUAUCGUAACGACGCACACGCAUGCUACUGCCGAAAUCACUUCGCUUUUGCGGAUUAUGAAGUUUGAAGCGUGGUGUUCUGUGGCAGUGCUCGCCUUAGCUUGUGUCCUGCAAACCACUGAAGCAGUGUCCACUGUGGAAACCAUGUCACCAUGCCCUGGAGAGAAGCCCUUUAAACCCAGGUCAGCCAUUGCUCUUGAGAAGUUCGAGAGCAAGAAGAAGUCCAAAGUCAGGACAUCAGCGUCCGUAUGAACCCCGAAGGAGAAUCUUUAACGGGGCAGCAUACAUAUAAACGUUCGACGGACGGAAGGAAAUGACAGGCUUCAAUAUCAGACUAAGAGGACGUGUCGUUUUUUCCGUUGAGUGAACUAUCAAACCAGUGAGACAUAAUUCAAAAGAUCAUUAAAAUGGACAUUAAAAUUCAUUUUUAGAGUG